rnacentral:rRNA from 1 species
AACGCGAAGAACCUUACCUACUCUUGACAUCUAUGGAAUUUGGCAGAGAUGCCGAAGUGCCUUCGGGAACCAUAAGACAGGUGCUGCAUGGCUGUCGUCAGCUCGUGUCGUGAGAUGUUGGGUUAAGUCCCGUAACGAGCGCAACCCUUGUCCUUAGUUGCCAACAGGUUAUGCUGGGAACUCUAAGGAGACUGCCGGUGACAAGCCGGAGGAAGGUGGGGACGACGUCAAGUCAUCAUGGCCCUUACGAGUAGGGCUACACGCGUGCUACAAUGGCUGGUACAAAGGGAAGCAAAGUCGCGAGACGGAGCGGACCCCAUAAAGCCAGUCGUAGUCCGGAUUGGAGUCUGCAACUCGACUCCAUGAAGUUGGAAUCGCUAGUAAUCGUGGAUCAGAACGCCGCGGUGAAUACGUUCCCGGGCCUUGUACACACCGUAGUAC